rnacentral:rRNA from 1 species
AGGGCGCACGGUGGAUGCCUUGACACUAGGAGUCGAUGAAGGACGGGACUAACGCCGAUAUGCUUCGGGGAGCUGUAAGUAAGCUUUGAUCCGAAGAUUUCCGAAUGGGGAAACCCACCAUACGUAAUGGUAUGGUAUCCUUAUCUGAAUACAUAGGGUAAGGAAGACAGACCCAGGGAACUGAAACAUCUAAGUACCUGGAGGAAGAGAAAGCAAAUGCGAUUUCCUGAGUAGCGGCGAGCGAAACGGAACAUAGCCCAAACCAAGAGGCUUGCCUCUUGGGGUUGUAGGACAUUCUAUACGGAGUUACAAAGGAACGAGGUAGACGAAGCGACCUGGAAAGGUCCGUCGUAGAGGGUAACAACCCCGUAGUCGAAACUUCGUUCUCUCUUGAAUGUAUCCUGAGUACGGCGGAACACGUGAAAUUCCGUCGGAAUCUGGGAGGACCAUCUCCCAAGGCUAAAUACUCCCUAGUGAUCGAUAGUGAACCAGUACCGUGAGGGAAAGGUGAAAAGCACCCCGGAAGGGGAGUGAAAGAGAUCCUGAAACCGUGUGCCUACAAAUAGUCAGAGCCCGUUAACGGGUGAUGGCGUGCCUUUUGUAGAAUGAACCGGCGAGUUACGAUCCCGUGCGAGGUUAAGCUGAAGAGGCGGAGCCGCAGCGAAAGCGAGUCUGAAUAGGGCGUUUAGUACGUGGUCGUAGACCCGAAACCAGGUGAUCUACCCAUGUCCAGGGUGAAGUUCAGGUAACACUGAAUGGAGGCCCGAACCCACGCACGUUGAAAAGUGCGGGGAUGAGGUGUGGGUAGCGGAGAAAUUCCAAUCGAACCUGGAGAUAGCUGGUUCUCCCCGAAAUAGCUUUAGGGCUAGCCUUAAGUGUAAGAGUCUUGGAGGUAGAGCACUGAUUGGACUAGGGGUCCUCAUCGGAUUACCGAAUUCAGUCAAACUCCGAAUGCCAAUGACUUAUCCUUAGGAGUCAGACUGCGAGUGAUAAGAUCCGUAGUCAAAAGGGAAACAGCCCAGACCGCCAGCUAAGGUCCCAAAGUGUGUAUUAAGUGGAAAAGGAUGUGGAGUUGCUUAGACAACUAGGAUGUUGGCUUAGAAGCAGCCACCAUUUAAAGAGUGCGUAAUAGCUCACUAGUCGAGUGACUCUGCGCCGAAAAUGUACCGGGGCUAAAUACACCACCGAAGCUGCGGAUUGAUACCGAAUGGUAUCAGUGGUAGGGGAGCGUUCUAAGGACAGUGAAGUCAGACCGGAAGGACUGGUGGAGUGCUUAGAAGUGAGAAUGCCGGUAUGAGUAGCGAAAGACGGGUGAGAAUCCCGUCCACCGAAUGCCUAAGGUUUCCUGAGGAAGGCUCGUCCGCUCAGGGUUAGUCAGGACCUAAGCCGAGGCCGACAGGCGUAGGCGAUGGACAACAGGUUGAUAUUCCUGUACCACCUCUUUAUCGUUUGAGCAAUGGAGGGACGCAGAAGGAUAGAAGAAGCGUGCGAUUGGUUGUGCACGUCCAAGCAGUUAGGCUGAUAAGUAGGCAAAUCCGCUUAUCGUGAAGGCUGAGCUGUGAUGGGGAAGCUCCUUAUGGAGCGAAGUCUUUGAUUCCCCGCUGCCAAGAAAAGCUUCUAGCGAGAUAAAAGGUGCCUGUACCGCAAACCGACACAGGUAGGCGAGGAGAGAAUCCUAAGGUGUGCGAGAGAACUCUGGUUAAGGAACUCGGCAAAAUGACCCCGUAACUUCGGGAGAAGGGGUGCUUUCUUAACGGAAAGCCGCAGUGAAUAGGCCCAAGCGACUGUUUAGCAAAAACACAGCUCUCUGCGAAGCCGUAAGGCGAAGUAUAGGGGGUGACACCUGCCCGGUGCUGGAAGGUUAAGGAGAGGGGUUAGCGUAAGCGAAGCUCUGAACUGAAGCCCCAGUAAACGGCGGCCGUAACUAUAACGGUCCUAAGGUAGCGAAAUUCCUUGUCGGGUAAGUUCCGACCCGCACGAAAGGUGUAACGAUUUGGGCACUGUCUCAACCAGAGACUCGGUGAAAUUAUAGUACCUGUGAAGAUGCAGGUUACCCGCGACAGGACGGAAAGACCCCGUGGAGCUUUACUGUAGCCUGAUAUUGAAUUUUGGUACAGUUUGUACAGGAUAGGCGGGAGCCUUUGAAACCGGAGCGCUAGCUUCGGUGGAGGCGCUGGUGGGAUACCGCCCUGACUGUAUUGAAAUUCUAACCUACGGGUCUUAUCGACCCGGGAGACAGUGUCAGGUGGGCAGUUUGACUGGGGCGGUCGCCUCCUAAAGUGUAACGGAGGCGCCCAAAGGUUCCCUCAGAAUGGUUGGAAAUCAUUCGUAGAGUGCAAAGGCAUAAGGGAGCUUGACUGCGAGACCUACAAGUCGAGCAGGGACGAAAGUCGGGCUUAGUGAUCCGGUGGUUCCGCAUGGAAGGGCCAUCGCUCAACGGAUAAAAGCUACCCCGGGGAUAACAGGCUUAUCUCCCCCAAGAGUCCACAUCGACGGGGAGGUUUGGCACCUCGAUGUCGGCUCAUCGCAUCCUGGGGCUGUAGUCGGUCCCAAGGGUUGGGCUGUUCGCCCAUUAAAGCGGUACGCGAGCUGGGUUCAGAACGUCGUGAGACAGUUCGGUCCCUAUCCGUCGUGGGCGUAGGAAAUUUGAGAGGAGCUGUCCUUAGUACGAGAGGACCGGGAUGGACGCACCGCUGGUGUACCAGUUGUUCUGCCAAGGGCAUAGCUGGGUAGCUAUGUGCGGAAGGGAUAAGUGCUGAAAGCAUCUAAGCAUGAAGCCCCCCUCAAGAUGAGAUUUCCCAUAGCGUAAGCUAGU